UCAAUUCUGUUGAUUUUUAAUCGUGCAUUCUCUCUGUUUACAGGCAUAAUUGGAGCUGGAACAGGCGCUGCUUCGUGUACGUGUGCUGGAGCCGAUGGCUGGAGUACCGGAUGAAAGACUUCUUCGAAGUUGAUAUCUGAUGUGGUCGAUGAAGCUGAAGAAAUCGAGUAUUGAUCGCAUUGACGUGGAGGUUUAGCAGACGUACCGGAAUCAGAUGGCAGCGGCGAAUCGAUUUUGGCUGGAACAGCAGCUUUUUCAUCAUCAGAGCUCGAUUCGGACAGAUUUAUCUCAGGAAUGGCGAUCGCUGGCAUCGACGCUGGAGCGGAGAAGCUGUCGAAGUUCGGAAGCGAGCUG